rnacentral:rRNA from 1 species
CCUACGGGUGGCAGCAGUAGGGAAUAUUGCUCAAUGGGGGAAACCCUGAAGCAGCAACGCCGCGUGGAGGAUGAAGGUUUUCGGAUUGUAAACUCCUUUUGUUAGAGAAGAGAAUGACGGUAUCUAACGAAUAAGCACCGGCUAACGCGGUGCCAGCAGCCGCGGUAAUACGGAGGGUGCAAGCGUUACUCGGAAUCACUGGGCGUAAAGAGCGCGUAGGCGGGAGAGCAAGUCAGAUGUGAAAUCCUAUGGCUUAACCAUAGAACUGCAUUGGAAACUGUUAGUCUAGAGUAUCGGAGAGGGCAGAGGAAGUCUUGGUGGAGGGGAGAACUGCGUAGAGAUUAAGAGGAAUAAUAGGUGCGAAGGUGAC